CAAAGUCCACUAUGAAGGUGAGCAAUGGCAGACAAGCACUUCAGAAUCACAACGGCGUUAUUUAUCUUCGCGAACUUCAAAUUUGGUGAUGUCACGCCUGAGAUGAUUGUCCAGUCUAAUGGGAACUUCACACUACAGCUAAAUGGUUGACUACGGACAGUUUAAAGGACGGACGACCCUGGACCUCUCAACGGGAGCCCUGACCCUCACACGUCUCACAGAGGCUGACAGUGGGGAGUAUGUUGGUGAGCUGCAGAUCAGGGGAGAGCUGGUGUACUAUCGUCAGAUGGUAAAAGUGAUGCUGUAGGUAAACCAGCAGUCACCUGCCAAGUGAACGGCCCCUCAGUAACCCUGCUGUGCUCUGGGGGCGACAGACCAAGCAC